UUAUGAAGUGAUUGGUGGCGAUUGGAAGCACCAGAGAUAAUGGGAUUACUCUGGUUUGUACUGGAGUUGGCAUGGCUCCAAAUCCGAUUGGUUUGGACCGUUGGGAGGGAAAUCGAUCGAUCAAGGGCCUACAGUGGAGAUCUGACUCACCUCCAGCUACCUGAACCUAGAGCACAAGCUGAUGAAGGAAGCUAAGGUGAUCGGAGGAACUGAGGAUCACUGCUGAUCGUCGAUUUGGUGAUCUAAAGUAGAAUCGGUCCACUCGGAUUGGUCUUGAAGGUUGCUGGAAAGAAGAGAUCAUCGA
rnacentral:lncRNA from 1 species